rnacentral:snRNA from 1 species
UCACCACCAGUCCACCAUG